rnacentral:tRNA from 1 species
UGGCCCCUUCGUCUAGCGGUCUAGGACGCGGCCCUUUCACGGCUGAAACACGGGUUCGAUUCCCGUAGGGGUCACCAC